GAUGAAGAACGUAGCGAAAUGCGAUAAGUAGUGUGAAUUGCAGAAUUCAGUGAAUCAUCGAAUCUUUGAACGCACAUUGCGCCCUUUGGUAUUCCAAAGGGCAUGCCUGUUCGAGCGUCAUUUGUACCCUCAAGUCUCGCUUGGUAUUGGGCGACGCGGUACGCCGCGCGCCUCAAAUCUUCCGGCUGGUUCGAAUCGUCCCUCAGCGUUGUGGAAACUAUUCGCUAAAGGUGCGCGUUUCGGUCACGCCGUUAAACAAGCCAAUUUCAUUAAAGGUUGACCUCGGAUCAGGUAGGGAUACCCGCUGAACUUAAGCAUAUCAAUAAGCGGAGGA
rnacentral:misc_RNA from 1 species